rnacentral:rRNA from 1 species
UACACUCCUGCGGGAGGCAGCAGUGGGGAAUUUUGGACAAUGGGCGAAAGCCUGAUCCAGCAAUGCCGCGUGUGUGAAGAAGGCCUUCGGGUUGUAAAGCACUUUUGUCCGGAAAGAAAUCCUUGGCUCUAAUACAGUCGGGGGAUGACGGUACCGGGAGAAUAAGCACCGGCUAACUACGUGCCAGCAGCCGCGGUAAUACGUAGGGUGCGAGCGUUAAUCGGAAUUACUGGGCGUAAAGCGUGCGCAGGCGGUUUGCUAAGACCGAUGUGAAAUCCCCGGGCUCAACCUGGGAACUGCAUUGGUGACUGGCAGGCUAGAGUAUGGCAGAGGGGGGUAGAAUUCCACGUGUAGCAGUGAAAUGCGUAGAGAUGUGGAGGAAUACCGAUGGCGAAGGCAGCCCCCUGGGCCAAUACUGACGCUCAUGCACGAAAGCGUGGGGAGCAAACAGGAUUAGAAACCCGAGUAGUCCC